ensembl:lncRNA
AAGAAAAAGUAUAAUAGAUAUUGAAAAGAUAAAUACAAGUUGAAUAGUUGAAUGUCUUGUCUUCGUUUUAAAGUUUGAAUGGUGGCUCUAUGUCAAUGUAUGUGGAAGUAGAUACAGUUUAAAGAGGAGGAAGUUGAAUGAGAAUUUGAAGGGUCUCCCCAUUGAAAUACAUGGGAAAUUUUUGUUGAAAAAAGUUGAAUAAAAUUAAAAAUAUAAAUGUUAAAAAUGAGAAAAAUAGAAGCAGUCAUGUCCAAAAGAAUAGGAAUCUAAUGGUGUUUGAAUGGUUUUUUCUAAGUUGAACGGUUUUGAAGGAGAUAGAUUACAAAAAACGUACGGAAUCCAUAAUAAUAAAAUAUAAUAAAAUAGAAUAAAGAUUAGAAGAACAAUACUGUGAAUGCUUUUCAAGCAUUCACACUAAUAACUAGAAAAAGAACAAUACUGUGAAUGCUUUUCAAGCAUUCACACUAAUAAAGAUUAGAAGAACAAUACUGUGAAUGCUUUUCAAGCAUUCACACUAACUAGAAAAAUAAAGAUUAGAAGAACAAUACUGUGAAUGCUUUUCAAGCAUUCACACUAAUAAUAAUAAAGAUUAGAAUAACAAUACUGUGAAUGCUUUUCAAGCAUUCACACU